rnacentral:lncRNA from 1 species
UCGAAAAGUGCGAGAGUUGAAUUAGAGAGUUCGAACGCUCCUUCUUACAGUUCGAAAAAUGCGAGACUGAAAAGUUUGGUUUUUGCCUAAGAGUUCGAACGCUCCAUGGAAGAAGGAUUAGGGCGUUCGAACGCCAAGAAGAAAAAGCAGAAGAUUGUACUAAGCGUUCGAACUAUCAAUUGAAGAAGGAAGUUGGCGUUCGAACGCCAAGGCAAAUCCUGGGAAGAUUCCUAAUCUGUUUAGGACUCGAAUUUGGAAGUACCUAUAUAUAUAUCUUUAUAUCUUUUGACAAAGGGGACGUGAUUUUUA